rnacentral:rRNA from 1 species
AACGAACGCUGGCGGCAUGCCUAACACAUGCAAGUCGAACGAGACCUUCGGGUCUAGUGGCGCACGGGCGCGUAACGCGUGGGAACCUGCCUUUAGGUUCGGAAUAACUCAGAGAAAUUUGAGCUAAUACCGGAUGAUGUCUUCGGACCAAAGAUUUAUCGCCUUUAGAUGGGCCCGCGUUGGAUUAGCUAGUUGGUGGGGUAAAGGCCUACAUGGCGACGAUUCAUAGCUGGUCUGAGAGGAUGAUCAGCCACACUGGGACUGAGACACGGCCCAGACUCCUACGGGAGGCAGCAGUGGGGAAUAUUGGACAAUGGGCGAAAGCCUGAUCCAGCAAUGCCGCGUGAGUGAUGAAGGCCUUAGGGUUGUAAAGCUCUUUUACCCGAGAUGAUAAUGACAGUAUCGGGAGAAUAAGCUCCGGCUAACUCCGUG